UUACCCGCGUGGGUUGUCCUCUGUGCCACUUACCUCCAGAUGGGCUGCAGGACUGAGUGGCUCCCGAAACCCCUGCCCUGUGUGGCUGUGUGUGUGUGUGUGUGUGUGUGUAUGGGGGAAGGGUGAAUGAAAACUUGAGACGGGACAAGGGCAGUCUCUGAAUCAGGAUUUCAGUUCAGCUUACUGAUGCCUGGUAAGCUAUCCUAGGAGAAGAAAACCCUACUUUCUAAGCGUCACUAUGUGCUUCAAAUGCUCUUUGUUUCCCUUGUGAAUCUCCUUAGGUUUUGGUAAAAUUCCUUUGGAUAAUUACAGCCCGUCUUAAAAAUGCUAAAGGAUGUGGCAGGGCUGACGGUGGUGACGGUGACGGGCAGGGCGGGGGCAGAGCGGUCCACCCGUGGGCUGGAGAGGAAGUCACAAUGUCUGGCCUAGUUGGUGCAAAAGUGAAAGAUCCACGGCCUUAGUAAUGGGAACCGCUAGUCAGGGAGCUCCUGUGGCGGGCCCGCGAGCUGCUGGAAGGGCCUUGUCACCUAGAUUCCGAAAGGGACUCACUCUCUUCUAGAGCAUCUGAGAGAGAGGACACAGUCCAGGCGGAGCACCAGGGCUGCUGAGAAAGUGGGGGCCCAGGCGAGGCAGUUUGGCUCAGUGGCAGAGCAGAAAUUGCAGAAAUUGGAUUGCUUGCUUUCAGUGGCGGCUCUGUCCCUCAAUAGCUGGGUGACCUUGGUGUGGUGGGCACGGUGAUGUGAAGAGGCCCGGUCCCCCUUCAAGGAAGGAUGUGUUGCUCCAGCUGCAAUCAACAGUGCUACUGGCAGACGGCCUCAGGUCUUGGCCGGUUCGGGUCCGCUGUGGCUCCAGAGAGCACGUCUCCAAAGUCACGGCCUCCGGGGGUGGGCCCCACUCAAUGACCGAUGGCUGCCGGGUUAUAAAAAUCCGGCCAUCUUGGUGCAACUCAGGACAACUCUGAAGGGCCAUGCUGGCUCCAGAGCUUCCUGUGGGGGUGGGGAGGCUGUCAUGGGCCUGCAUCACAGCUGACUGCCCUCUGCCCUCCCUCCCCUGCUUCCUUCUCCUCCUUUCCAAGGGUACUGAGUAAACAUCUCGCCUGCUCACCUCUGCCUUAGAGUCUCCUUCCCAGGGAACCCAACCCGCAAGACUUAGGGUGUUUUGCUGUGUCAGUGGCAAUUUUCCCUGCUGCUUCGUUUGGAACUGCCAGACUUCAUCAGAACAAGUGGCAUCAGAUGCCUUUAGAUGCGGUCCAAUUCACCGGGGUGAAUAAAACAGGCGACUUCUCAUACAGACUUCCUUACCAUUUGUUGUGCUGCUGUGGGUUUGUACCCUACAAACAGGGAAUUCUGAUGCUCCAGGCGAGUGGCACUCCAUGGCUUCAGGCAGGCGGGCAGUCGGAAGAAGCCAGAGCACACGAGGAGUUGAGGCCUGCGCCAUGUCAGGGGCUCGAGCAGGUGGACGAGAGGACACAGUUUCAGGCAAGUGCUGUGGUAAGGAAGAAGCCAGCGGAGAGACUGGCUCACGAUUCCCCUCUUUGAGGUUUCCGCCUCCCAUGGCCGUGGCUGAUUGAUCCAUGGAAAGAUGCCUGACCCAGGCUGGACCAAUCAGAAUCCUUCCCCAGGAUUUUCGAACUGGAGCUAAGGGGAGCCACGGGGUACAAGGCUCUGGAGCAGUUGGGAGCCAUGUGGAGGAAAGAAGGACAUCACUCCAAAGGAGAAGCUGGGAGAAGAGAGCGUGGGGGCCACAAGAAAAAAGGUCCAGGGGUUCUGGUGGCCCAGCUGCAUCCCUUUCCUUUUUUUCCCACAGCCCUGAGAUUCCCAGCCUCCUGCCAAUAAAACCCCCAUUGUGCUGAGCGAGGCUGGGCUGAGUUUCCGGUCUUGGAAGGAGAGUUAAGGACUGAGUGGGAUGUGAAGAAAUACCGCAAGCGCACAUGAGUCCCAAAGAGCUCACAAUGGAGAGGAGGGAGAGAGAGGGAGAGAACCCGAAACGCGACAGGAACGUGGGGUCAAGGAAGGGGUUUUUAUUUCAUUUUUGUAAGCUGUGGAAAACUGAAACAUGUUUAUGUGCUGAGGGUAAAGAGCCAGUAAAAGUAGCAUAAAUCCUAACAACAGAAUAUACUAAAAUGAGGCAGAGAUACAAAGCUAUAAAAGCCUUAAAGAUAAAGAAAAUAUGCCCUCGAUAAAAAUAAGAAGAAAAAGCAGAAGGAAAAUAGCCUUGCAGUGGAAAGCAGGCGUUGGCGCCGGGACCCCAGGUUCCCACGCGGUCCUAGGCGCCAGCUCUCUCUGGGGUGGGAGAACAGAGAGCCCCUUUCUCCUUCCACCUCUGGGCACUCGCCCAGGGCACUGGGGAGGGGCCCUUGAGAAGCAGUGACCUCAUGUUUGGGAUGAGACACGUCCACUCAGGGCAGUACCCACAGCCUUGAGUGCUUACUCAACACCACAGUUGGGAAGGGGUCGCUGGAGAACAGGAGAUGGAAGAUGCAGGAGAGAACAAUGAGCCCUGGGAGGUCCCUGCAGAGGAGAGGGGCUGGUGUCCAGAGCGCAAGGGAGAGAUCAACCUCAGAUCAGAUCAGAGACCCUCAGCUGUAAGACAAGAGGGAAGGGAGAAAGCUUGUGUGUCAGUGAGUGGUGGGCAGGAAGUGGACUCCAUUUUCUCUGCAAAGUCAAAAGCAAGGGCAUCUACUGAGUUACCAGGAAUGGGCUAGAUAUGUCAAGAAGGCUUUUGGCUUGGAGAACCCCCAAACCCAAUUAAUAGUGCCUUAAACCUUAAGGGUCUUUACUGCUUAACUAGCAAAAGUCUGGAAGUAGGCAGUUCCAGGGUUUGUCCAUGGUUUGUUGAUUGCAUGGAGGACCCUGUUCUGUCAGCCACUCUGCCCUGCCAUCCUUAGCUAUUGGUCUUUUCUCUGGAUGCUUGCCACCUCGUGGUAUCAAGAUGGCUGCUGUAGCUCCAGGCAUCAAGUGUCUGUUUUAGGAGAAGAAGUUAUGGACAAUCAGGCAGUGAGAAAACUCUCCCACUCUCACUUCUUGGGGAGAAAAAUUCUCUUCAGGGGCUUCCCAGGAGACUCCCUUAUUAGCUAGAAGUGGGUCACAAACCCAUCAUAGAACAUAUUACCUAAGCUUAAGAAAUCUUUGCCUAAUACUCAAAUGAAAUUGGGUUCUGCUGGCAGGGCAGAGGUUGGGGGACGCCUGGAGUGGACAGCCCCAGGGUCUGCUACAAUUUGGUAGGGAGCUCCAGUAGAGGGACAAAGUUUUCAAAUAGCUGGGAAAGGGAAAGGAGAGAAACAGAGCACCACUCAACAGCAGAAGGGGUCCUGCCGGGGGUGAGGCCCAGUGUGAGGGGGCAGGGUGAGAGUUGGGCAGACGGGAAUAAAUGCCAAAGUCCCCUUUUAUACAGAAGGCCCCCAGCACAGCCCCAGAAAAAGUUGAAGAUGUGGCCUCUAUCAGAUGCCACCACAACCUUGCAUGC